rnacentral:rRNA from 1 species
GUGGGGAAUAUUGGACAAUGGGCGAAAGCCUGAUCCAGCCAUGCCGCGUGUGUGAAGAAGGUCUUCGGAUUGUAAAGCACUUUAAGUUGGGAGGAAGGGCAGUAAGUUAAUACCUUGCUGUUUUGACGUUACCGACAGAAUAAGCACCGGCUAACUUCGUGCCAGCAGCCGCGGUAAUACGAAGGGUGCAAGCGUUAAUCGGAAUUACUGGGCGUAAAGCGCGCGUAGGUGGUUCAGCAAGUUGGAGGUGAAAUCCCCGGGCUCAACCUGGGAACUGCCUACAAAACGACUGAGCUCGAGUACGGUAGAGGGUAGUGGAAUUUCCUGUGUAGCGGUGAAAUGCGUAGAUAUAGGAAGGAACACCAGUGGCGAAGGCGACUACCUGGACUGAUACUGACACUGAGGUGCGAAAGCGUGGGGAGCAAACAGGAUUAGAAACCCCUGUAGUUCC